AUCUCAUGAUGAGGACAUGCGGCCAUAUAUUCCCGAAGUUGUUCCCAUCCCUUAGGAAUGGACUCGUCCCUUGUCUGCUGGAAGCUUGAAAUUCUUUCGCGAAGGGU
rfam:Oryza rufipogon genomic scaffold, chr07